GAAUUAGAGACCCCACCCUUCACCAAGCAGGUCGCAGGGCAGAGAGAGCAUGGGCUUGGAAGAGGGGCAGACCUCUGGAUGAUUUGGGGUGCCCUGUACUCCUGUGGAACUCACGUCUUUGAACUUCAGUUUAGUUGAGUCCACACAAAUGUCCCUGGCUGGUGAAUGGUCUUCUGUCACACAGGGACCUGAGGACAGAGGCCUCCAUCCCGUGGCUGUUCCGUACCCUGGGGCCUGGAGGCCUCAAGAGAGACAGGGUGGAGAAGCCUCGCCUGCUUCUUAAAGCCCCUGCCUUGAAUUUACACACAUCACUUCUCAUUUUCCAAUGGCAAAACUUAGGCCCGCAGCCAUUCUGGGAACAAAGUGGGUGGGACAUGCCGUUCCUGAUGGGUAGCAGCACCAGGACCAGCUCCACUGCAUGGAAUAAUGAACCCACAGCUUUGGUGAAUAGGCAGCCACCUCUGCCACAUAUCAUAGCUUGUUGGGUGGUUGUGAAGCUUGAAUAUUAUAACACAUGUGAAGCAUUAACCUUGGAGUGCCCUGCAGUGCAGGAUAAAUGCUGUUAUUUAGUUAAGUUA
rnacentral:lncRNA from 1 species